UGAGGAAUAUUGGUCAAUGGACGCAAGUCUGAACCAGCCAAGUAGCGUGCAGGAUGACGGCCCUAUGGGUUGUAAACUGCUUUUAUGCGGGGAUAAAGUGUGGGACGUGUCCCAUAUUGUAGGUACCGCAUGAAUAAGGACCGGCUAAUUCCGUGCCAGCAGCCGCGGUAAUACGGAAGGUCCGGGCGUUAUCCGGAUUUAUUGGGUUUAAAGGGUGCGUAGGUUGCUUGUUAAGUCAGCGGUGAAAGUCAGUGGCUCAACCAUUGAAUUGCCGUUGAAACUGGCGAGCUUGAGUACGUACGGGGCAGGCGGAAUGCGUGGUGUAGCGGUGAAAUGCAUAGAUAUCACGCAGAACCCCGAUCGCGAAGGCAGCCUGCCAGGCCGUGACUGACACUGAUGCACGAAAGCGUGGGUAUCGAACAGGAUUAGAUACCCUGGUAGU
rnacentral:rRNA from 1 species